rnacentral:rRNA from 1 species
UACGAAGGGGGCUAGCGUUGUUCGGAAUCACUGGGCGUAAAGCGCGCGUAGGCGGAUCUUUAAGUCAGAGGUGAAAUCCCAAGGCUCAACCUUGGAACUGCCUUUGAUACUGGGGAUCUUGAGUCCGGGAGAGGUGAGUGGAACUGCGAGUGUAGAGGUGAAAUUCGUAGAUAUUCGCAAGAACACCAGUGGCGAAGGCGGCUCACUGGCCCGGUACUGACGCUGAGGUGCGAAAGCGUGGGGAGCAAACAGG